rnacentral:lncRNA from 1 species
GAACAGAAAUGACAGCAUCACUCGCAUGGAGACUCCUCCAUCUCUGUCUUCCCUGUUGUGACAGUCUCAGAGCCUACGUUCUUUCAAUGGCUGGGCUACAAGAUGGUGACAGGCUGCCCAACCUGACACAGCAAGAAGGCGGCCAUCUGCAAACCAGAAAGAGAGCCCUCACCAGGAACCGGAUCUGCUGGCACCUUGAUCUUGGACUUCCUAUCCUUUAGAGCUGUGAGAAAUGUCGCCCCCAGGUCAAUGGGAUAUUUGUUACAGCACCAGGUACUGCCUGAGAACUCUACCUUUAGGGAGCCUGCGUGCUGGGUCACUGGGGAGACAAUGAAGGUGCUUGACACCCAGUUUGAAUAUUGUGUCACUGCAAAGCUGACUGCUGUUGAAGGAUAGCCAGUGAGAGGUCAUGGCAAGCCAUCAGAAGAAGCAGAAGUCAUGAGCAUGCUGAAGCUAUGAGGCCAAGACAAAAUGUCACAUUGCCACAAGAAGAGGGACAAACAGGCAACAGGCAGAGCCCAUGGGAAUCAGUAAUCUCCUGCUGACACUGAGGCCUUGGGACUAACUCAGAUCCAGUACUACUCUCUUGGGACCUGUUCUGACUCCAGCUCCUGUCCUUGGGGUCCACUGAGAUCCCUGUAGCCUUGUAAUAAGCCCACAUUAUCAUAUUUCCCCUGCCGGCUCCACCCUAGAGCAUUUCCAACAAUUUCCAGUGCUUUUCCCCUUCUCAUACCACUGGGCCUUUGCACGUGCUCGUGCCUCCCCAACUUGCCCUGCCUUCUCCUUCACCCAGACAACUCCUACUAAAUCUCUCAGACUCCUCAGCUGUGUCCCUUCCUAGGGGAGGACUCUCUUCCCUCCAGUGAGCCCGGUGGUCCUCCCUGGGAUCCCCUGCUCCUUGUCUUCCCUGCCGUCCUUACUGCCAUCCUUGUUCUCUACUCAGAAGGAGGCAGAGGCUGGCCUGCCCCCAAUCCCCUGUAGACUGACCAGAUGAAUUGACCUGGGCUGGGCAGGGCAGGCGUGUUUGACCAGUUGUCUGGGCACCCCAUGGCUCAGUCAAGUUGACACAUAAAGUUCACCGCCCCAGGGCCCCUUCGUUGUAUUUGUGUAUGAAUAAAACACAGCAUCCACUCCAGGUAUCUGAGGGUCCUGGAGGCAGGUUUUGUGAUCCCUUUUUACAGAUGAGGAUGCGGAGGUCCAGUUGUCACUCACCCAGAUCACACUCUCAUCUGCUGAUGGGAGGAGUAUUUGAUGGGAUGUGUGAGCCCGGCCGUCUCCCUUGGGACACAUCAGCUCAUUAAAUUUGCCAGCCCCUGCCUGAAAAAGUAUUUAAUUUGCCUUUUACAAUGCACCCAUUGCAAGUUAAUUAACUGGCAAUUGAAAGUUAUAGGUGGCAUUAGAAUUUAUUAAUAACAUUGGGAAUAAAUCUCCCUGGAAUUCAAUUAACUGAAAA